UUGUACAAGAUGCACCAUUUCUGAGGACUUCUGGCACAGUGGCCUGCACUGUUUAAAGUUCGCAAGAUCAGUGCUGAAUUGAAAAGAAUCCCCACAGUCCCACUGCAAUGGCCUGCACUGUUCCAAGUCCACAAGGUCAUGGAUGAAGUUGCCGUAGACGAAGCAAAUGAAGACAUCACUAUUGGAAUCUGCUCUGACAGAAGAUUGGGCAUCCCACCCUUAGGACAUUGUCAGUUUUAGUGUAUGUCUGUCACACACGUGACACCCAAUCGGAAAGGACUCUUUUUUUUUCAGCAACUAAAAAACUGUGAAAUGUUUAAGUGAAAUGUACCUUUUUUCUAGAGAUCUAUUUGCUUGUAUGCACUUCCAGCUCCUUGCUGGUUUAAGAAUAGCACUUGAGUGUGCAUAUGUUUUGUACAUACUGUGUUGAUUUUGACCCAAACUAAAGACAAACAAAAUACCAAGAUUAGACUUAAAUAAGACUGGGUAAUGACACAAAUGUGGUCACCAAAGAGGACAACCAAAUGAAUGGUGGACUGCCAGAUGCACGUGCACAUGCAUACAGUAUACGCGCAUGAAUGCACACACGCACACCUACUAGUGUGGACUAAUGCACUUAGUCAAUGAGCUAAAAGAACUGUAUGUAGAGUGAAUUUUAUUUGUGUCCGAUGUGUUCACAUGAAUGCUAAUCCAGCCAGAGAGCACUUUUUCACAGCAACCAAACAAAUCAUUUUCUUAAAGGUGCACUGUGUAGGAUGGUGACCAGAGUAGGCAACUAUGCUGCACAUUGAAACGGUGCUGCCUAUUACCAACUUUGUCCUUUUCAUGAAUAUUUACUUAGUAAUAAACGAAAAUGUGUUAGUAUGACCAAAGUUCAGUAAGUUUACUAAAAAUCUGUAUUUCUAGAAAUUCAAAAUGGCAGCCAGUGGAGAAGAUUCCUCUCUUUCCUCCUCCCCCUUUCAUGUAUGGAAAGAGCAAUUUCCCCAGUCAUAACGACAACUUAAAGUUUGGUGGUAAAUAUUCAUGAAAAAUGCAACAUUUGUGCAUGGGCAACAUGAAAUCUCAAAAAUAAACUACUGAAAAUAAUACACAGUGCACCUUUAAAGCGAAUUGGACUUUCUUUUUGUUCACAGACUCUGCUCGUUGUAUUUCCUGCUCGUUGAUUGGUGUAAGAGUAGCAGUUAUUUGUGACUGUCCUUAUGUUUUGUAUAUCUGUGUGCAUUUUACAUGCGUACAGUGAAAGUCAAUACAUUUAAUCACAGAAUCCUUUUUUUGUUUUUGUUUGCACAUGCCUGUACAUCAAAUUGUGAUCUGCAAUGCAUUUGUAUAGCCUAGACCUAAUAUGUUUACCAUGUUUUUUUGG